UACGUAGGGGGCAAGCGUUGUCCGGAUUUACUGGGCGUAAAGAGCGUGUAGGCGGCCACGCAGGUCCGUUGUGAAAACUGGAGGCUCAACCUUCAGACGUCGACGGAAACCGUGUGGCUAGAGUCCGGAAGAGGAGAGUGGAAUUCCUGGUGUAGCGGUGAAAUGCGCAGAUAUCAGGAAGAACACCAAUGGCGAAGGCAGCUCUCUGGGACGGUACUGACGCUGAGGCGCGAAAGCCAGGGGAGCAAACGGG
rnacentral:rRNA from 1 species